UACAGAGGUCUCAAGCGUUGUUCGGAUUUAUUGGGCGUAAAGGGUGCGUAGGCGGCGCCGUAAGUCGGGUGUGAAGUUUCGGAGCUUAACUCCGAGACUGCAUUCGAUACUGCGGUGCUUGAGGACUGGAGAGGAGACUGGAAUUCAUGGUGUAGCAGUGAAAUGCGUAGAGAUCAUGAGGAAGACCAGUGGCGAAGGCGGGUCUCUGGACAGUUCCUGACGCUGAGGCACGAAGGCCAGGGGAGCAAACGGG
rnacentral:rRNA from 1 species